GCGGGAAUAGCUCAGUUGGUAGAGUACGACCUUGCCAAGGUCGGGGUCGCGAGUUCGAGCCUCGUUUCCCGCUCCA
rnacentral:tRNA from 2 species